rnacentral:rRNA from 1 species
UGGGGAAUUUUGGACAAUGGGCGCAAGCCUGAUCCAGCCAUGCCGCGUGUAUGAAGAAGGCCUUCGGGUUGUAAAGUACUUUUGUCAGGGAAGAAAAGGAUGUUGUUAAUAGCGGCAUCUGAUGACGGUACCUGAAGAAUAAGCACCGGCUAACUACGUGCCAGCAGCCGCGGUAAUACGUAGGGUGCGAGCGUUAAUCGGAAUUACUGGGCGUAAAGCGAGCGCAGACGGUUACUUAAGCAAGAUGUGAAAGCCCCGGGCUCAACCUGGGAAUUGCGUUUUGAACUGGGUAGCUAGAGUGUGUCAGAGGGGGGUAGAAUUCCACGUGUAGCAGUGAAAUGCGUAGAGAUGUGGAGGAAUACCGAUGGCGAAGGCAGCCCCCUGGGAUAACACUGACGUUCAUGCUCGAAAGCGUGGGUAGCAAACAGG